rnacentral:rRNA from 1 species
CAGUUCGGAUCGGAGUCUGCAACCCGACUCCGUGAAGCUGGAUUCGCUAGUAAUCGCGCAUCAGCCAUGGCGCGGUGAAUACGUUCCCGGGCCUUGUACACACCGCCCGUCAAGCCAUGGGAGCCGGGGGGUGCUUGAAGUGCGUCGCCGCAAGGCGCGCCCUAGAGCAAAACCGGUGACUGGGGCUAAGUCGUAACAAGGUAAC